UACGAAGGGGGCUAGCGUUGCUCGGAAUCACUGGGCGUAAAGCGCACGUAGGCGGCUUUUUAAGUCAGGGGUGAAAUCCUGGAGCUCAACUCCAGAACUGCCUUUGAUACUGAGAAGCUUGAGUCCGGGAGAGGUGAGUGGAACUACGAGUGUAGAGGUGAAAUUCGUAGAUAUUCGCAAGAACACCAGUGGCGAAGGCGGCUCACUGGCCCGGUACUGACGCUGAGGUGCGAAAGCGUGGGGAGCAAACAGG
rnacentral:rRNA from 1 species